rnacentral:lncRNA from 1 species
GUGGGGUUUUCUCAUAAUAUGGUUGCCAAAGCCAUCCAAGAACAUGGACUUGAAGAUGCAGGUUCAAUUCUUGAAACCCUCCUCUUAUAUAACGCUCUUGAAAGUAGUCCUCGGGAGCAACAUUCUCUGCUAGAGCUGCAUUCUCCUUCAGAACAGUGCUCUCCUCAAGAACAACAACAAAUUGACUCGGAUCUCUUUUCUUCAGAUUUUGAUGGGAGCUUUCUAGAUGGUUUUUCAGAUCUCGAUAGCUCUGAUGACGAGGUAACUAUCGAUCCUACAUCUGAGGCGGAGACAAAACUUAUGUCCAACUUAUGUCCUUGGUUAAAAUGGGGUACAAUGAAUUGGAGGCUUCAUUGGCAAUAGAAAGAUGCGCUUGGAAACUUUUGCACUGGGCUGAACAUACAUAUAGAGAAAUGGUAGGCGGUGAUGAUGUUGACUGGGAUACUGAAGAUGAGCUUGAGAUUGAAACUUCACUUUAUCUUCUUCAGGCUCUUGAAAGUAGUUCUCCAGAGCAACGUUCUCUUCCAGAGUUAUGUUCUCCUCCAGAACAGUGCUCUCCUCAAGAACAGCAACAAAUUGAACCGGAUCUCUCUUCUUCAGACUAUGAUGGGAGCAUUCUAAAUGGUUUGUCAGAUAGCUCUGAUGAUGAGAAAAUUAAUCAACUAUUUUUGGAGGUAGCCAUCGAUCCUACAUCUGAGGCGGAGACAAAACUUUAUGUCCUUGGUUAAAAUGGGGUACAAUGAAUUGGAGGCUUCAAUGGCAAUAGAAAGAUGCGGUAUUGACUCGUCACUUGUUGAUUUUGACUGAUUUCAUAUCAGCUGCUCAAAUUUCAAAGGCAGAAGAUGCCCAUUUUCCACUUCAAGAGAUGCGUACACAUCUGCUGAGUGAGUAUCCUGAGAAGAACUAAAAGGAAACUUUAUGAAUCUCCAUUGCUGAAAAGGAAAAGGACCAUGGGAUAUGGAAACCAGAUCAUAGGGGAAGAUGCUGAUGCAAUUCAUCUCCCAAAUCCAAUGAUUAGGUUUAGGACUCCGGCUGAUCUCCGUCAAAUCCCACAGGACCUCCUUAUUUUUACUAUGAGAAUGUGGCCUUGACUCCUAAAGGAGUUUAGGAGCACAAUCAAUAACC